ACCGCGGUUAUACGAGAGACCCCAGUUGAUAACUACGGCAUAAAGAGUGGUUAGGGAAACACAAUAAAUAAAGUUAAAAAUCUCCCAAGCUGUUACACGUCUCUCGGAGAUACGAAACCCAACCACGAAAGUGACUUUAAAUCCACCCCGACGCCACGAAAGCUAAGAAACAAAC
rnacentral:rRNA from 1 species